GACGAACGCUGGCGGCGUGCUUAACACAUGCAAGUCGAACGAAAAGAGGGAAAGAGCUUGCUCUUUCCGGAAUUGAGUGGCAAACGGGUGAGUAACACGUAAACAACCUGCCUUCAGGAUGGGGACAACAGACGGAAACGACUGCUAAUACCGAAUAAGUUCCAAGGGCCGCAUGGCCCAUGGAAGAAAAGGUGGCCUCUACCUGUAAGCUAUCGCCUGAAGAGGGGUUUGCGUCUGAUUAGCUGGUUGGAGGGGUAACGGCCCACCAAGGCGACGAUCAGUAGCCGGUCUGAGAGGAUGAACGGCCACACUGGAACUGAGACACGGUCCAGACUCCUACGGGAGGCAGCAGUGGGGAAUCUUCCGCAAUGGGCGGAAGCCUGACGGAGCAACGCCGCGUGAGUGAUGACGGCCUUCGGGUUGUAAAACUCUGUGAUCCGGGACGAAAAGGCAGAGUGCGAAGAACAAACUGCAUUGACGGUACCGGAAAAGCAAGCCACGGCUAACUACGUG
rnacentral:rRNA from 1 species